rnacentral:rRNA from 1 species
UUAGUGGCGGACGGGUGAGUAACGCGUGGAAAACCUGCCGUAUACUGGGGGAUAACACUUAGAAAUAGGUGCUAAUACCGCAUAAGCGCACAGCUUCGCAUGAAGCGGUGUGAAAAACUCUGGUGGUAUACGAUGGUUCCGCGUCUGAUUAGCUAGUUGGUGGGGUAAUGGCCUACCAAGGCAACGAUCAGUAGCCGGCCUGAGAGGGUGGACGGCCACAUUGGGACUGAGACACGGCCCAAACUCCUACGGAAGGCAGCAG